CUGCUGCUAAGGUUUCCACUACAGAUGCAAGAAAAAAGUGUCCUGGCACUUUCUGUCUGUCUGAUUGUGGCAGCCCAGACUGAGUGGGGGAAAUAUAG
rnacentral:snoRNA from 1 species